rnacentral:rRNA from 1 species
GAGUUUGAUCAUGGCUCAGGAUGAACGCUAGCUACAGGCUUAACACAUGCAAGUCGAGGGGCAGCAUGAAAGUUUGCUUGCAAACUUUUGAUGGCGACCGGCGCACGGGUGAGUAACACGUAUCCAACCUGCCUCAUACUCGGGGAUAGCCUUUCGAAAGAAAGAUUAAUACCCGAUGUCAUAGUCCUACCGCAUGAUGGGAUUAUUAAAGAAUUUCGGUAUGGGAUGGGGAUGCGUUCCAUUAGUUAGUUGGCGGGGUAACGGCCCACCAAGACAACGAUGGAUAGGGGUUCUGAGAGGAAGGUCCCCCACAUUGGAACUGAGACACGGUCCAAACUCCUACGGGAGGCAGCAGUGAGGAAUAUUGGUCAAUGGACGAGAGUCUGAACCAGCCAAGUAGCGUGAAGGAUGACUGCCCUAUGGGUUGUAAACUUCUUUUAUAUGGGAAUAAAAUGUUCCACGUGUGGGAUUUUGUAUGUACCAUAUGAAUAAGGAUCGGCUAACUCCGUGCCAGCAGCCGCGGUAAUACGGAGGAUCCGAGCGUUAUCCGGAUUUAUUGGGUUUAAAGGGAGCGUAGGUGGAUUGUUAAGUCAGUUGUGAAAGUUUGCGGCUCAACCGUAAAAUUGCAGUUGAAACUGGCAGUCUUGAGUACAGUAGAGGUGGGCGGAAUUCGUGGUGUAGCGGUGAAAUGCUUAGAUAUCACGAAGAACUCCGAUUGCGAAGGCAGCUCACUGGACUGCAACUGACACUGAGGCUCGAAAGUGUGGGUAUCAAACAGGAUUAGAUACCCUGGUAGUCCACACAGUAAACGAUGAAUACUCGCUGUUUGCGAUAUACUGCAAGCGGCCAAGCGAAAGCAUUAAGUAUUCCACCUGGGGAGUACGCCGGCAACGGUGAAACUCAAAGGAAUUGACGG